AGUUCGAGCUCUUUCAAGCAUCCUCCCAAACAAACUCAAGAUGUUCAAAUUCGUCAUCGUCGUCCUGGCCCUCAUCGCCUCUGCGCUGGCCGUUCCGAAACCGGUGCUACUGGCGGCCGCUCCCUCCUAUUCGUACACCGAGCGCAUUGAUAAGCCGGCACUGAGCUAUUACUCGGCACCCCUGCCCAGCUACUACCCUGCUGCCCCGGCACCGUACCUGCACACGCCACUGGCCUACAGUGCCCCCGUGGCAGCCUAUCCCGCUGGGUAUGCGCUGCUGUGAGGUGGGGAAGGAUAAAGACACGGGAUGGACAAAGGAAUUGAGAUUGGAAGACGUUCUGGAAUAUUUGUGAUGAUUUUGAAUAAACGGUGGUUCAAAAUGUA